rnacentral:pre_miRNA from 1 species
CCCCCACCCAUGUGUGUAGGACCUCAAAGGAUCACCAUUAAAGUUGGCACAGAUCUCUAGAAAAGUUAUUACAUGGGUGUAGGACUUGCCUUUUCUAUAGAUCCGUGUUAAAUUUAAUGAUAAUCCUUUGGGAUCCUACACACAUGGGUGGGGG